ensembl:lncRNA
CUCCUCUACCCUCUCCUCUCCUCUACCCUCCUCUCCUCUACCCUCUCCUCUCAUUGCGUGUGUCUUCUCAUUACUGCAGUAAUCAUCUUGGUUAGAGUUAAACGGAUGAACCAUCUUCCUGAGGCCACAAAGUUAAGUCACCUAGCUAACCCUCUAGACUGCCCUAAGGCUGUAUCCUAAAGGUUAAGUCAUCUAGCUAACCCUCUAGACUGCCCUAAGGCUGUAUCCUAAAGCUUAAGUCACCUAGCUAACCCUCUAGACUGCUCUAAGGCUUCGUCCUAAAGGUUAAGUCACCUAGCUAACCCUCUCUAGACUGCUCUAAGGCUUCGUCCUAAAGCUUAAUUCACCUAGCUAACCCUCUAGACUGCCCUAAGGCUGUAUCCUAAAGGUUAAGUCACCUAGCUAACCCUCUAGACUGCCCUAAGGCUGUAUCCUAAAGCUUAAGUCACCUAGCUAACCCUCUCUAGACUGCUCUAAGGCUUAGUCCCAAAGGUUAAGUCACCUAGCUAACCCUCUCUAGACUGCUCUAAGGCUUAGUCCCAAAGGUUAAGUCACCUAGCUAACCCUCUCUAGACUGCUCUAAGGCUUCGUCCCAAAGGUUAAGUCACCUAGCUAACCCUCUCUAGACUGCUCUAAGGAUUCGUCCUAAAGGACAGCCUAUUUCCUUUGUGGGGCACUACUGUUCACCGGGGCACAUACUUUUCCCUGGUCAGAAGUAGUGCACUGUGUAGGGAAUAUAGUGCCGUUUGGGAAGCAAAAUAAAUGUCUGAACU